rnacentral:lncRNA from 1 species
UUGCAAAAGCUCCGGCGUAUUUUCAUUUACAUUAUUUCUAGCGAGAAACACAUGCAAAUAGCAGAAGUAUCGGACAAGCUGGCUCAGUCGUCCAGAAGUCCUUUUCGAUCACGCAAGGUAUGAUGACUACGUCUACAGCAACAAUGACUCCACCAUGUCACACCAACAAAGAGUCGCUAUUGAAAAUGCGCCCCUUACCCCAGAGGCCCCACUCCCCCACUUUGACUCCUGACAGGAUCACGCGCUGAGCGCGUUACCACGGGCCCCGUACCCGGGAUCGAUGGAUAGGGAGUCUCCAAUGACCCUGACAGAGCUUUACGCCGUAGCAGUACGCCUCAGCACCAGCCAUCCAAGCCCGCAACCACCAAACAAAAAAUAACCCCUUCCCCCAAUGCCUUCCGCAACACUAAAACCCGUUUCGUCUUUCCCCCGACCUUCUCCCACGCACCCCCUUAAAAGGGCAAGCGAGCACCCACGUGGCCCUUAGCUCCCCAAUUCGAACGACGGGGCCUUUAUACCCGUGUCCAGCUUAAACUCCAGUUUCUUGUCAUGUGAUAGCGACAGGCACUGCUUGGAGCGUCUGGCAGGGAUUUCAGUGCCGCAUGCCUUGAACUUCUUAGCAUGACGGCGAUUAGUAGUGCAAUAUGGCCCUAUGUCAUCGAAGUAAUCGUUGGUAACACCUGGUGUAGGACCACGUUUGGUUUUCUUUGGUUCGGGCCCAUCAUCCAUCGUGCCGCCUGACACGAAGACCAACUGUUUACCUGAGCCCGUCGAUAUCACUGCACUACUAAGGCGAUUAAUUAGAAACGGAGAGAGCAGUGCGCGCUGUUUGGGGUAAGAACAAGCGGUUUGGGGGCUGUAUGACCACACACACAAUAUACGCCGACUUUACGCCAUUAAGACGCCACGCGAAAAAUCGGCCGCCUCGCCGGCGUAUUUUGACGUAUUAGGGCGUAAUUGUGCUUGGCGUAUUAUUCUGUAAUACGGUCUCAACCCCGAUGAAGCGCGCCACGAUGUACGGCGAUUGAACGGC